rnacentral:tRNA from 1 species
GAAGGGUAAAGCUCAGUGGUAGAGCACAUGCUUAGCAUGCACGAGGUCCUGGGUUCAAUCCCCAGAACCUCCA